UCUAUCUCUGACCUCCAUACCCAUGCACGCACACACACAAUUUAAAAACAUAAUCUAAUAUAAAACCAGACAAUUUUAUUUACAUAGAUGCUUUAUGAUUUCUGCUAAUAAUUUGCACAGUAUAAAGUAGGGAACCAUUUUACACUGACAAGGUCUUGAUUGUAUUUGUCUGCCAAGUCUGAAGACAGGAAAGUCGUGCUCAUUAACAUAAAAAAACUAACAGAAUCACUUAAAUAAACACAAAACAGUGGUCAAAGAAAUACAAUUCAUUGACUGGGGGGGUGGGGGGGAUCUACUGCGGGUGACUUUUAAAAUCCAUUUAAGAUACUCGAAGAAUCAUGAGCAAUAAUCACUUUCCUGUCCAUGGACUAAAGCGACAACAAAACCUUCUUCCCAACGUGUAAAGAGAGAAAAGAACACUCAGUCGCAGAAACGUGAGACUCCUGAGAACCCCACAGAGCCAAGGGCGCUGCGGAGCGCUCGCCUCACUCCCUUUGUUCUUAGCCACCUGCUCUCUGCUGCUUUCACAUUAAGUCAGGGGCGGAAAAAGACUGAAGACAGAUUUUGUUGUCAGCUUCUCUCUCGUGGAUUCGCUGCACAAAUAAUUCAACCCUCACUUGAGUGAAGGAAGAUUGGCCAGGGCCUGAGAGAACCAGGAUUCUAAGGUCCUCCCACGGGACAGGAAUUGUUCCUCGGCUUCUCUAACUGGAUCCAUGAACAUCUUGCUUUUCCUCCUCCGUUUCUCAGCGACCUCUGCCGGGGAAGAAAGUUGUAGGCUAACUCCUGCUGGAGUGCAGAAGAGGCAAUUUCUCCGAAGCUCUCCUCCAGACGGCAGUGUAGUGCUCAGGGGUAGGAAAGGAAGUGUGCACCCCCAGUGAGUGUGCACCCCCAGUUAAAUCUCACAUCAAGCUAAGGGUCCACACACCUUUCUCAGACGAUGGCGUCUGGUGCACCUGCGUAUGUCCUCAUGGGCUUGCCUUUCUCCUUAACACUCUGUCUCUGUCACUGCUGUGAGACUUCACUCUGCAAUCCAUCUGGAUUUGAAGAGGAAAAUAUGAGCCCAAAGAGCCACAGUGAGAGCACACUGGUUCCAGGAGGUUGCAAGCAGAUGGGUAAGGGAUGCUCUCCCAAGCUGCAGAAGGGAUGGCCUGGAGGCUGAGAGGUACAUAUGUCAAUCAAAAGUACCAGAGCUAGCCGGGUGUGUUGGUGCAUGCCUUUAAUCCCAGCACUUGGGAGGCAGAGGCAGGCGGAUUUCUGAGUUCAAGGCCAGCCUGCUCUACAGAGUGAGUUCCAGAACAGCCAGGACUACACAGAGAAACCCUGUCUCGAAAAAACAAAAAACAACAAAACAAAACAAAACAAAACAAAACAAAACAAAAAGUACCAGAGCUGCCCACAGUCAGCCAUGGUGGUCUUCUUGCUGGGCUUGUGAUUACUGGACCCAAAAUGUUCACACAAUGUUCAUGCCAUCUUUCACCCUCCUAAAGACGACAUGCUGACAUCCCACUACAUGGUCUUCACAGUGUAGUUGAAAAACUGGGAACCAUUUGUGUUUGUUCCAGCAUUUACCAUAGACAAGAAGACAGGACCUGUACACUGCAGGAUGGAACCCUCAUCCUUAUACUUCUUCAUUUGCCACCAGGGCCAUUGUGGCAUGUGAAGUCACCACCUGGCACAUGAAUCUUGGAAUUAAUUCCAUGAAAGAAGGAACCCUUAGACCCAAAUCCUUUUUUUCCCCAGAGAUCAGAGCUCAGUCAAUUGACUUUGGAAUCUUGUCUACAGAUAGUUCAAAGGGGAUGGUACCCAAGGAUCCACCAUUGGCUUCCAUGCCGAAGAACACAGUGGGGGUGUCCAUAGU